rnacentral:ncRNA from 1 species
AUAAGAUCUUGACCAACCCCGCGAUAAAUGAGAUAAUCUAGGGCCUUUACUGCCAUUUUAAAAAAUACUUUUGUUGGAUGGACCCUAAGUGUCCCAUAUCCUAUGAUUCACACUUGUUGAUAGGUAGAAAGACUGAGGCUUUGCAGAGUGUCUCAGAAGCGUAGAGGAAAAAAUUCUUGAAUUCCAUGGCCUUGAUCAUGCCUAUAUUUUAGGUUCAUUCAAUCAUGUCAGAAGAUUUCCCAAAAAUCAAUCUCAAUGAAGAGGGUGUUGAAAUCAAGGAAACAUUUGAGGGAAUUCCAUAACUUUUUCCCCUUCAAGUAAUAUCACAGACAACAUGCACUCCUUUUCCUCCUUUGCAUCAAUCAUGUGAAAAUCCCUACAAACUAAUGAAUGGAUUUCCAAUGAUUUGUCAAUAAUCCAUUUCUAUAAAAGGGMACAUUCAUCAUUAGACACAUAGAAGUUGGAUAAACCCAACAACCUUCCAUCCAGAGUCAACAAAAUUGAAACCCAUUUUUGAGUUGUUGGUGCCUCAUCCUAUAAUUGACGACAACGUUAGGAAAUCCGGAGACGUCAUCGGGGGCCCCAGGAAGAGUUAUCUUUUUUUUUUAACGGCUUGCCCACCCUGAAAAGCGUCUCAACCAGAGAUAGGGUCCAGCAGCUGGAAGAGAAUCGCACAUCUUGCGGUGUCCAGUGUGCCCUCAACGGCCCUUGAAAAUCUGGAGGACCAAGUACCGUCCAUGCUCGGUCGUACUCAUAAUCGCAUCAGGUCUCCAAGGUGAACAACCUCUGGUCAAUAGAACAAUGUAGGUAAGGGAAGUCGGAAAAAUGGAUCCGUAACUUCGAGAAAAGGAUUGGCUCUAAGGGCUGGGCCUAGGGGUCUACGUUGUCAAUUCGUGGGUUGUCUACAGUCUGCUCGAGAUGCUAUCACGGUGAGGGCAGGUAGUCACGUGUCAAUUGGGCUACGGACAUAGGAUGUCCCCUCACAAGGGAUUUUUCACUAGGUAGCGAAUAGUCAACACAUAACUGAUACGGACAAGGGGAAUCUGAUUGUUUAAUUAAAACAAAGCAUUGCGAUGGUCCCUGCAGAUGCUGACACAAUGUGAUUUAUGCGCAUUUAUCUGAAUGUCAAAGUGAAUAAAUUCAACCAAGCAUGGGUAAACAAAUAGAGACUUCAAUCCUUAGAAUCCUUGAGUUCACAGCGAGGAUCAAUAUUAGGAAGGAUAGAGACUUGGAGAAGU